rnacentral:rRNA from 1 species
GCAAGUCGAGCGCUUACCUUCGGGUAGGAGCGGCGGACGGGUUAGUAACGCGUGGGAAUAUACCCUUCACUACGGAAUAGCCUCGGGAAACUGAGAGUAAUACCGUAUACGCCCUUCGGGGGAAAGAUUUAUCGGUUAAGGAUUGGCCCGCGUUAGAUUAGAUAGUUGGUGGGGUAACGGCCUACCAAGUCUACGAUCCAUAGCUGGUCUUAGAGGAUGAUC